UACGUAGGUGGCAAGCGUUGUCCGGAUUUACUGGGCGUAAAGGAUGCGUAGGCGGACAUUUAAGUCAGAUGUGAAAUACCCGAGCUUAACUUGGGUGCUGCAUUUGAAACUGGGUGUCUAGAGUGCAGGAGAGGUAAGUGGAAUUCCUAGUGUAGCGGUGAAAUGCGUAGAGAUUAGGAAGAACACCAGUGGCGAAGGCGACUUACUGGACUGUAACUGACGCUGAGGCAUGAAAGCUAGGGUAGCGAACGGG
rnacentral:rRNA from 1 species